UGGGGAAUUUUGAACAAUGGGCGCAAGCCUGAUCCAGCCAUGCCGCGUGCAGGAUGAAGGCCUUCGGGUUGUAAACUGCUUUUGUACGGAACGAAAAGACUCCUUCUAAUAAAGGGGGUCCAUGACGGUACCGUAAGAAUAAGCACCGGCUAACUACGUGCCAGCAGCCGCGGUAAUACGUAGGGUGCGAGCGUUAAUCGGAAUUACUGGGCGUAAAGCGUGCGCAGGCGGUUAUAUAAGACAGAUGUGAAAUCCCCGGGCUCAACCUGGGAACUGCAUUUGUGACUGUAGAGCUAGAGUACGGCAGAGGGGGAUGGAAUUCCGAGUGUAGCAGUGAAAUGCGUAGAUAUGCGGAGGAACACCGAUGGCGAAGGAAAUCCCCUGGGCCUGUACUGACGCUCAUGAACGAAAGCGUGGGGAGCAAACA
rnacentral:rRNA from 1 species